GUACUUCUGAGGAAUUCCACAACAGGACGAAAUGGCCAUCCAGUAC
rnacentral:hammerhead_ribozyme from 1 species